rnacentral:misc_RNA from 1 species
CCCAGUCCUUCGCCGAGAUAGAUCGCGCGGACCUGGGGAUUUCGCCGAACCUCAUCGGGUGUUCCUUCAGCGAUCAGCGUGCCGCGAUUGAGCACGAGGAUACGAUCAGCAUGCUCGAACACUACGUCCAUGUCGNNNNNNNGGUGAAAAGAACACCUAUGGAUUUUUCCCGGGCAAUGCGCGCGGUCAGGCGCAUCAGUUCGACACGCUCGCGCGGCGCCAUGCCCGCGGUCGGCUCAUCCAUCAAAAGAAGUUAGAAGUUUUGGCUGAUUGGCCAGCGCUAUCGCAAGUUCGAGGCGCUUGAGAUCGCCAUAGGCAAGCUCGCCGCAUGGGCGCUCGGCAUAACCGCUCAUGCC